ACACAUUUUCUCAGUUAAGAGACAAUAGUGCUUGGGGCUGGAGAGAUGACUCAGUGAAAAAGAGGCAUCAGGCUAGAGCAGCUCAGUUUGAAUCCCUUGUAUUCAGAUGGAAAAGCCAGCUAUGUGUGUCUGUAACCUCAGUAUUUGAGGUAGAGGCAGGUGGAUAUAGGGAGUUUACUGGCCAGCCAGCCUAAGUGAAAAUUACUGCUUACAUUGCUAGAAUCUCAAUUUUUCUCAAAAUAUUCUUGUCCAAAGGUCACCACUACCUGACUUACUACAACUUUUAUAAUGAAAGGCAUUUUAUAUUGCUUCAAAGACCUCUUUGUCAGAGAUUACUUAUCUAUUUGUAGGGGUCCAGACUUCCUGUCUGAGGUACACAGGUCUGUUCAUGGCUCAGUUUCACUGCAUCAGGUCCCUGUCAGCAAAGUGUGAACUCAGAUAGUAAAUGCCCCUUCCAAGGCAUGUUUGAAGACAAUCAACUUGCUUGUAAGUUGGAUUACCAGUUGGAACUCAGGAUAAUUUCUCUUCAGUCCUAGUCUAAAUAACAAUCUCAUGGGGGGGGGGUGUGAAAUCAUGUGCCAGAAUGACCCUGGGCCUGUAAAGGCUUCAUGAAGCUGCUUUACCACCAACUGAGACCUUGUAUCUCAGAACAUGAAAGAAAUACAUUUACACUUUGUUCUUUAAGCCAUUGUAUUAGAAGCUAUUGUGCUUGUAGCCUUUUUCUUUUUUUUUUAAUCUUAACUCCCUUUAUAUUCAGAAUUGGGGUUCAUCUGUAAACUUUUUGGCAUUAUAUUGUUCAGUAAUACUGUCAGUUACUGGGGUCAAAGGAAUUUUUAAGGUUGUUAGCUGACUAGAUGCUGUGUUAUACUUGAGAUUAAGAAUUUUUUUUUGAGAAAAGAAAAUUUUUUGUCAUUAUGUUUGUUUUUAAUCUUCCUUUUCAUAGAAAGCAUUCCACCACACAUUUAUUAGAACUUUUAUUUUUAGUUAGAGUUUAGGGAUAUAUAUUAUAUUAUAUUAAAAAUAUUAUAUUAUAUUAAAAAUAUUUCACAAACAUGAAUUCAUAAAAGGUUGAUUUCCUAAAAAGUAUUUGUUAAAAUCCAUUUAAUGUGAAACUCGUCUUUAUUCCCAGUAUCUUGUAGGAGUAUUUUGUAAUAUCAGGGACAGAAUAGAAACAAAAUGACAAAAUAGACCUAUGAUGAUUGUAUUCCUUUUAAUUAGGAGUAAAUGAGUAAAAAAGAUUUUUUUUUAUACAUAAGUACACUGUAGCUGUUUUCAGACAUUCCAGAAGAGGGCACCAGAUCUCAUUACAGGUGCUUCUGAGCCACCAUGUGGUUGCUGGGAUUUGAACUCAGGACCUUCAGAAGAGCAGUCAGUGCUCUUACCCGCUGAGCCAUAACUCCAGCCCGAAUAAAAAUUUUUAUGUGUAAAAUUAAGUAUGAAAUUCUUACUUCAGAUCACUCUCAUGGCCCUAUAAGCCUCUAGAUUUUAGUUCCCAAGGUCACUGCUCUCAUUCAGGCCUCUGCCUCAUGGAGAUUUUUAUGGUACCCUUCAAGUUUUUUGUUUUCAGUUAACUACCACUUUGGUUGUUUCCUUGUGCCAUGGCUUGAGGUCAUUGUCCUUGUUCUGGAAAGUUUGUCCCUAGAAAUGUUACCAUGUAUUCCUAUGUAUCAUCUGGUUUCAAACUCCCCUUUAUAUAUUAUAUUCUGCUAUUCUCUAUUUUCCAUCUUUUUGUGUUGCAGUAAAUCUCCAACCCCAAUAAGCCUGUGCAAAAACC
rnacentral:lncRNA from 1 species